UGCAUACUCCCUCCGUCCGGAAAUACUUGUCCUAGAAAUGGUUGUAUCCAUUUCUAGGACAAGUAUUUCCGGACGGAGGGAGUACCAA
rfam:Triticum aestivum genome assembly, contig: Triticum_aestivum_CS42_TGACv1_scaffold_115395_2AS